AGUGAACGCUGGCGGCGUGCUUAAUACAUGCAAGUCGAACGAUGGAGUCCUAGCUUGCUAGGAUGGAUUAGUGGCGCACGGGUGAGUAAUAUAUAGUUAAUCUGCCUUGCACUGAGGAACAACAGUUGGAAACGAUUGCUAAUACCUCAUACUCCAACUUUACAUAAGUUAAGUUGGGAAAGUCUUUUCGGUGCAAGAUGAGACUAUAUCGUAUCAGCUAGUUGGUAAGGUAAUGGCUUACCAAGGCUAUGACGCGUAACUGGUCUGAGAGGAUGAUCAGUCACAUUGGAACUGAGACACGGUCCAAACUCCUACGGGAGGCAGCAGUAAGGAAUAUUGUGCAAUGGGGGAAACCCUGACGCAGCAACGCCGCGUGGAGGAUGACACUUUUCGGAGCGUAAACUCCUUUUGUUAGGGAAGAAUAAUGACGGUACCUAACGAAUAAGCACCGGCUAACUCCGUG
rnacentral:rRNA from 1 species